rnacentral:rRNA from 1 species
AUUGAACGCUGGCGGCAGGCCUAACACAUGCAAGUCGAGCGGAGCGGCGGACGGGUGAGUAAUGCCUAGGAAUCUGCCUGGUAGUGGGGGAUAACGUCCGGAAACGGGCGCUAAUACCGCAUACUAUCAGAUGAGCCUAGGUUGGAUGAGCUAGUUGGGGGGGUAAAGGCCUACCAAGGCGACGAUCCGUAACUGGUCUGAGAGGAUGAUCAGUAAAACUGGAACUGAGAAACGGUCCAGACUCCUACGGGAGGCAGCAGUGGGGAAUAUGGGACAAGGGGCGAAAGCCUGAUCCAGCCAGGCCGCGUGUGGGAAGAAGGUCUUCGGAUGGUAAAGCACUUGAAGUUGGGAGGCGUUACCAACAGAAUAAGCACCGGCUAACUUCGUGCCAGCAGCCGCGGUAAUUC